UACGGGGGGGGUAAGCGUUGUUCGGAAUUACUGGGCGUAAAGGGCUCGUAGGCGGCCAACUAAGUCGGACGUGAAAUCCCUCAGCUUAACUGGGGAACUGCGUCCGAUACUGGAUGGCUUGGAUUCGGGAGAGGAAUGCGGAAUUCACGGUGUAGCAGUGAAAUGCGUAGAUAUCGUGAGGAAGACCAGUGGCGAAGGCGGGUUUCUGGAGAGUUCCUGACGCUGAGGCACGAAGGCCAGGGGAGCAAACGGGG
rnacentral:rRNA from 1 species